UCAAGUGCAGCGUCGUGGAUUCGACGUGAUCGAAGGCGGUUCGUGGAUUCGGAUUGUGAGCUCGUGGAUUCGAGUGGUGUUCGUGGAUUCGGACGUGUGUGUGGCGUUCGUGGAUUCGAACGUGAGGGCAUGAACAACCCAGAGGCUUGCGCAAGAUCCAUAGGAGGUUAAGAGAGGUCGAGUCUGUGGAGUCGAUAAUCACCUUGUAAUCUUUUCUGUUAGUGGAUUAUUUUUUUCGCGUGUUGGUCUCGUGGG
rnacentral:lncRNA from 1 species